rnacentral:rRNA from 1 species
UGUCGUCAGCUCGUGCCGUGAGGUGUUGGGUUAAGUCCCGCAACGAGCGCAACCCCUAUCUUUAGUUGCCAUCAGGUAAUGCUGGGAACUCUAAAGAAACUGCCGUCGUAAGACGUGAGGAAGGAGGGGAUGAUGUCAAGUCAUCAUGGCCUUUAUGCCCAGGGCUACACACGUGCUACAAUGGGGGGGACAAAGGGCUGCCACUUAGCGAUAAGGAGCUAAUCCCAAAAACCCUCUCUCAGUUCAGAUUGGAGUCUGCAACUCGACUCCAUGAAGCUGGAAUCACUAGUAAUCGUAUAUCAGCAAUGAUACGGUGAAUACGUUCCCGGACCUUGCACACACCGCCCGUCAAGCCAUGGAAGCUGGGUGUACCUAAAGUCGGUAACCGCAAGGAGCCGCCUAGGGUAAAACUAGUGACUGGGGCUAAGUCGUAACAAGGUAGCCGUACCGGAAGGUGCGGCUGGAAUACCUCCUUUUUAGAGCAUGCUUAGAUUUACAUGCUGUUGCUUUUCCACUU